UACAGAGACCCCGAGCAUUAUCCGGAUUUAUUGGGCGUAAAGCGUUCGUAGGCGGUUUUGUAAGUCAUUUGUAAAAUCCUCAGGCUUAACUUGGGGGCUGCAGGUGAUACUGCAAGGCUUGAUCGUGGGAGAGGUAAGCGGAAUGCCCGGUGUAGCGGUAAAGUGCGUUAAUAUCGGGUAGAACACCAAAGGCGAAGGCAGCUUACUGGAACACUGAUGACGCUGAUGAACGAAAGCGUGGGUAGCGAAAGGG
rnacentral:rRNA from 1 species